rnacentral:rRNA from 1 species
GAUGAACGCUGGCGGCGUGCCUAAUACAUGCAAGUCGAGCGAACAGACGAGGAGCUUGCUCCUCUGACGUUAGCGGCGGACGGGUGAGUAACACGUGGAUAACCUACCUAUAAGACUGGGAUAACUUCGGGAAACCGGAGCUAAUACCGGAUAAUAUAUUGAACCGCAUGGUUCAAUAGUGAAAGACGGUUUUGCUGUCACUUAUAGAUGGAUCCGCGCCGCAUUAGCUAGUUGGUAAGGUAACGGCUUACCAAGGCAACGAUGCGUAUCCGACCUGAGAGGGUGAUCGGCCACACUGGAACUGAGACACGGUCCAGACUCCUACGGGAGGCAGCAGUAGGGAAUCUUACGCAAUGGGCGAAAGCCUGACGGAGCAACGCCGCGUGAGUGAUGAAGGUCUUCGGAUCGUAAAACUCUGUUAUUAGGGAAGAACAAAUGUGUAAGUAAAUAUGCACGUCUUGACGGUACCUAAUCAGAAAGCCACGGCUAACUACGUG